rnacentral:rRNA from 1 species
AAUGGAGGAAACUCUGAUGCAGCGAUGCCGCGUGAGUGAAGAAGGCCCUUGGGUUGUAAAGCUCUUUCGUCGGGGAAGAAAAUGACUGUACCCGAAUAAGAAGGUCCGGCUAACUUCGUGCCAGCAGCCGCGGUAAUACGAAGGGACCUAGCGUAGUUCGGAAUUACUGGGCUUAAAGAGUUCGUAGGUGGUUAAAAAAGUUGGUGGUGAAAUCCCAGAGCUUAACUCUGGAACUGCCAUCAAAACUUUUUAGCUAGAGUAUGAUAGAGGAAAACAGAAUUUCUAGUGUAGAGGUGAAAUUCGUAGAUAUUAGAAAGAAUACCGAUUGCGAAGGCAGUUUUCUGGAUCAUUACUGACACUGAGGAACGAAAGCAUGGGUAGCGAAGAGGAUU